AGAGUUUGAUCAUGGCUCAGGACGAACGCUGGCGGCGUGCUUAACACAUGCAAGUCGAGCGAUGAGAUCACUUCGGUGAAGGAUUAGCGGCGAACGGGUGAGGAACACGUGAAGAAUCUGCCUUCAACUCUGGGAUAACUCCGGGAAACCGGGGCUAAUACCGGAUAUGAGCCUUGAUCGCAUGAUCGGGGCUGGAAAGUUUUUCGGUUGAAGAUGACUUCGCGGCCUAUCAGCUUGUUGGUGAGGUAAUGGCUCACCAAGGCGACGACGGGUAGCCGGCCUGAGAGGGCGACCGGCCACACUGGGACUGAGACACGGCCUAGACUCCUACGGGAGGCAGCAGUGGGGAAUAUUGGGCAAUGGAGGAAACUCUGACCCAGCGACGCCGCGUGCGGGAUGAAGGCCUUCGGGUUGUAAACCGCUUUCAGCAGGGAAUAAGCGCAAGUGAAGGUACCUGCAGAAGAAGCACCGGCUAACUAUGUGCCAGCAGCCGCGGUAAUACAUAGGGUGCAAGCGUUGUCCGGAAUUAUUGGGCGUAAAGAGCUCGUAGGUGGUUUGUUAUGUCGGUUGUGAAAUUCAGGGGCUCAACCCCUGACUUGCAGCCGAUACGGGCAAGCUAGAGUUUGGUAGGGGAGACUGGAAUUCCUGGUGUAGCGGUGGAAUGCGCAGAUAUCAGGAGGAACACCGAUGGCGAGGGCAGGUCUCUGGGCCAAUACUGACACUGAGGAGCGAAAGCGUGGGGAGCGAACAGGAUUAGAUACCCUGGUAGUCCACGCCGUAAACGGUGGGCGCUAGUUGUGCGAACCUUCCACGGUUUGUGCGACGCAGCUAACGCAUUAAGCGCCCCGCCUGGGGAGUACGAUCGCAAGAUUAAAACUCAAAGGAAUUGACGGGCCCCGCACAAGCAGCGGAGCAUGCGGCU
rnacentral:rRNA from 1 species